CCCAAUGUGAACGUUACCAAACUGUUGCCUCGGCGGGAUCUUCUGCCCCGGGUGCGUCGCAGCCCCGGACCAAGGCGCCCGCCGGAGGACCAACUCCAAAACUCUUUUGUAUACCCCCUCGCGGGUUUUUUUACUAUCUGAGCCAUCUCGGCGCCUCUCGUAGGCGUUUCGAAAAUGAAUCAAAACUUUCAACAACGGAUCUCUUGGUUCUGGCAUCGAUGAAGAACGCAGCGAAAUGCGAUAAGUAAUGUGAAUUGCAGAAUUCAGUGAAUCAUCGAAUCUUUGAACGCACAUUGCGCCCGCCAGUAUUCUGGCGGGCAUGCCUGUCCGAGCGUCAUUUCAACCCUCGAACCCCUCCGGGGGGUCGGCGUUGGGGAUCGGCCCUUUACGGGGCCGGCCCCGAAAUACAGUGGCGGUCUCGCCGCAGCCUCUCCUGCGCAGUAGUUUGCACACUCGCAUCGGGAGCGCGGCGCGUCCAAUGCCGUAAAACACCCAACUUUCUGAAAUGUUGACCUCGGAUCAGGUAGGAAUACCCGCUGAACUUAAGCAUAUCA
rnacentral:rRNA from 1 species